rnacentral:rRNA from 1 species
AUGAGGGGGGCUGAGGGCGACGAGGAAGGGGCGGCGGCCCUGCCGCCUCCUCCCGAACCUCCACCGGCAGAGCAAGGAAAGCCGGCGGCGCAAGGGCUGAUACCGCCAUCAGAGGCAAGUGGAUCGCCGGCGGCGGAAGGGCUGAUGCCGCCAUCAGAGACAAGUGGAUCGGCCACUUCGGCGGAUCUGGAUCAGAUCAGGGGGGUCCUGAACCCGAUCAAAUGGGGAAUUCGUUUCGAUGACGUCUGGGCUGCCGGACGCUGGAGGGACGGAUUUCUCUAUGUGUACUAUCCAUCGAGAUGGAUGGUAGUGAGAGAUCUGGAAGGAGACAUCCUUGCCGGGCGGUACCUCGACGUCGACAUGGAGAUCACCGAAGGUAUGCGUUUGUUAAUCGAUGUCUUCGAGGUGUGUGUUGUUCAUUCCAUGCAGGCGGAGCCGAUUGUGCACGAUCAGUUCGAGGUUGUGGAUCUCACAGCGGAACCCGUACCCUCGAAGCCGCGGUUCAGGGGACGUUUCUGGGUCCUGGCUAAUGAGGAAGACGAUGAUGCGGAGGACGGGGCGACCGUUGUUCACCCGGAGGAGAAGCCUCGAAUGCGACUGGUGAAGUCGGAAUCUGCAGCAUUGUUGUAG